UUAUUAAGUUAAAAAGCUAUAGAUUAAAGUUUCAUGGUAUUCUAAUACUUAUUUUGUGAGAUAUAAAGAAAUUAGCAUGCAAGUGUAUGUAAUCUAGGGUUUAAAGCUACCAUUAGGAUUUUAGUGAUAUCCCAAGAUCCGUAAUGAAUUUGCAAUUGAAUUUUUUUGUGGUAAUUUUUGAAAGUAUAUCAGUACUUCAAGUAAAAUUGAGGAUUUUUUA
rnacentral:lncRNA from 1 species